AUUGAACGCUGGCGGCAGGCCUAACACAUGCAAGUCGAACGAGUGGCGGACGGGUGAGUAAUGUCUGGGAAACUGCCUGAUGGAGGGGGAUCACUACUGGAAACGGUAGCUAAUACCGCAUACCAUCGGAUGUGCCCAGAUGGGAUUAGGUAGUCGGUGGGGUAAAGGCUCAUCUAGGCGACGAUCCCUAGCUGGUCUGAAAGGAUGACUAGUCAAACUGGAACUGAGAGACGGUUCAGACUCCUACGGGAGGCAGCAGUGGGGAAUAUUACACAAUGGGCGCAAGCCUGAUGCAGGCAUGCCGCGAGUGUGAAGGAGGCCUUCGGGUUGUAAAGCACUUUCAGCGAGGAGGCGUUACUCGCAGAAGAAGCACCGGCUAACUCCGUGCCAGCAGCCGCGGUAAUUC
rnacentral:rRNA from 1 species